UACGGGGGGGACUAACGUUAUUCAUCAUAACUGGGCGUAAAGCGUGCGUAGGUGGUUUGUUAAGUCUGAUGUGAAAGCCCUGGGCUCAACCUGGGAAUUGCAUUGGAUACUGGCAGGCUAGAGUGCGGUAGAGGAUGGCGGAAUUCCCGGUGUAGCAGUGAAAUGCGUAGAGAUCGGGAGGAACAUCUGUGGCGAAGGCGGCCAUCUGGACCAGCACUGACACUGAGGCACGAAAGCGUGGGGAGCAAACAGG
rnacentral:rRNA from 1 species